rnacentral:lncRNA from 1 species
AGGAGAUGAAAGCGAAUCAUCCUCACUUAUUUGAGGAUUGAGCCGAGGUAUGAGUUUAGAGUUUAAAUUUGGAUGAAUUUAAUAUCAUUGAGUUCGUUUCGAGGACGAAACUCUUUUAAGGUGGGGAGAAUGUAAGGGAAGUAAAUUCUCGAAAUCCGGGGAUUAGACUUCGUUGGGAAGCGACUGAUUGUCGAGUGAGUAAGCUUCGGAAAGUCCGAAGGUGGUUAUAAUGCAUAAAGUGCAUUGAGGAAGUGUCCGCGAGAGUACCAGUGCGAAAGCU